UUUCUCUACCUUGAUGGAAAGAUGAUAGAAAGCUUAGACUCCGUUUGGUUCUUCUCAAUGUCUUCUCAACAAAACCUCAAGAUUUUGGCUUUCAUGGUGAUAAUGAUCAUAGCCAAGUUUUCAACACUGCCACCAAAUCAAUACCCAUGAUUUCAAUUCUUGAAACCCACCAAACAGAGCCUCAAAUUGAUGAGACUUUGAUCAUCUAAACUGGUGAUUUGGGUGCUGAAUCAUCAAGAGACCAAGAACAGAAGGAAGAAAGAAAGCUAAAGAAGAAAAGGAUUAAUAAAGAGAUGGAUUUUGGGUUUGAUAUGUGAUGAGUGGGUUUUAUAUUCAGAAUUGAGUGUGUUUGAACGCGUUUGAGUUUAAUUUUUUGAUUUAUUUUUAAGUGUUGUGUGUU
rnacentral:lncRNA from 1 species